rnacentral:rRNA from 1 species
UACGAAGGGGGCUAGCGUUGCUCGGAAUCACUGGGCGUAAAGCGCACGUAGGCGGCUUUCUAAGUCAGGGGUGAAAUCCUGGAGCUCAACUCCAGAACUGCCUUUGAUACUGGAGAGCUUGAGUCCGGGAGAGGUGAGUGGAACUCCGAGUGUAGAGGUGAAAUUCGUAGAUAUUCGGAAGAACACCAGUGGCGAAGGCGGCUCACUGGCCCGGUACUGACGCUGAGGAGCGAAAGUGUGGGGAGCGAACAGG